GCGCCCGUAGCUCAAUUGGAUUAGAGCGCUUGACUACGGAUCAGGAGGCUAGGGGUUCGACUCCUCUCGGGCGCACCA
rnacentral:tRNA from 3 species